rnacentral:lncRNA from 1 species
UACACUCCCCCUCAAGUUGGUGCAUAGAUAUCAAUCAUGCCCAACUUGCCAACCGAGUCGUCAAACACUUUCCUUGACACUCCUUUCGUAAGAACAUCUACCAAUUGAUCUUCUGUAUACACAAAAGGAAAACGGAUUAUUUUCCUGUACAAGUUUUCCUUGAUAAAAUGCCGAUCUACCUCCACAUGCUUGGUCCGGUCAUGUUGAACAGGAUUAUGAGCAAUUUCAAUUGCAGACGUGUUAUCACAAUGCAAGUCCAUAGGUUGUUUGAGUUUAAAACCCAAUUCUUUCAACACAUUACGAAUCCAUAACAUCUCACAAACUCCAUGUGCCAUACCUCAAAAUUCUUCUUCAGCACUUGACCUGGCAACAACCUUCUGCUUCUUACUACGCCAAGUUACAAGGUUUCAUCCAACAAAUGUAAAAUACCCAGAUGUAAAUCGUCUGUCUGUUUUAUCACCAGCCCAAUCAGCAUCGGUGUACCCUACAACUUCCAAUUCACCCUUCUUUUCGAACAACAAGCCUUUGCCAAGUGCCAUCUUAAGAUACUUCAGAAUACGGUACACUGCAUCCAUAUGCUCUUCACUAGGACAAUGCAUAAAUUGACUAACCACACUCAUAACAUAAGCAAUAUCAGGUCUGGUAUGAGAAAGAUAAAUAAGUCUCCCUACUAGACAUUGAUACCUUCCUUUAUCAGUCGGGACUUGAUCCGGAUAGAUGGCGAGGUUGUGGUUCAUCUCAAUCGUUGUCUCAACCGGUUUGCAGUCAAGCAUUCCAGUCUCAACUGACAAAUCAAGUACAUACUUAUGUUGAGACAAAGAAAUCCCCUGCUUUGACCUUGCAACUUCAAUUCCAAGAAAAUACUUCAAUUGUCCAAGGUCCUUCAUCUCAAACUCCUUCGAAAGAUACUUUUGUAGAGCCUCCAUCUCCUUUGGGUCAUCCCCUGUGACAAUCAUAUCAUCAACAUACACAAUCAGAGCAAUGAUUUUACCCUGACUACGCUUGAUGAACAAAGUGUGAUCCGAGUUGCUUUGUCUAUAACCAAACAUCUUCAUUGAUUUGGAGAAUCUUCCAAACCAAGCUCUAGGAGAUUGCUUCAAACCAUACAAGGACUUCUUUAACUUGCAAACCUUGCCUGCAUCGCACGGUUUACUUUUGACUCCUGGCGGCAUGUCCAUAUACACUUCUUCCUCCAAGUUUCCAUUGAGGAAAGCAUUCUUCACAUCAAACUGUCGCAGAGGCCAAUCUUUAGUUGCUGCAAGUGAAAUCAAGAUUCGUACAGUGUUGAUCUUUGCUACAGGAGCAAACGUUUCUUCAUAAUCAAUGCCAUACCGCUGGGUGUAUCCCUUAGCAACCAACCGUGCUUUAUACCUGUCAAUACUCCCAUCUGCUUUCAACUUUAUGGUGAAUACCCAACGACAUCCAACGGUCUUCUUCCCAGCUGGUUUAGGCACAAUAUCCCAAGUCGAGUUUUUCUGUAAUGCCUUUAGUUCUUCAUUCAUUGCUUGAGUCCACUUGGGAUCCACCAUUGCAUCCUGUACACUACUAGGAAUAGAAACACUGGAUAAUUGAUUAAUGACAAGGGCGUGUGACUCGGACAACCUAUGGUUAGACAUGUAAUUAGCUACAGGAUACUUAGUCUUGGCUUUGAUAUCAGGUUCAUAUUGUUUCUUUGGAAUACCCUUUGUAACCCUUUGUGAUUUCCUAGACACAAUAUUAUCUACCUCAGAUAAUUGAUUUGAAUUUAAAGGUACCUGAGUAGGGACAUUCGUGGCAGAUUCUUCGAUUGAUGGUGUUAAGAAAGGGAAAACAUCUGAAGAAGCACUUUCAGGACAAUUUUCUGUCAAAUCCGUGAUUGUUGCCUUUUGAUGUGCAGAAGCUACAAGUGUCAGCAAGGGAUCAGUAGCCAACUGAGUUGGUCUGCAAGUGUCAGUACCACCAACUGAUGGUGUCCGCGUGUCAGCACAAGGAAGAGCAGCUCGGCUGGAACUGCUCGGCUCGCUUGCGGUCCUUGCGUCAAAGUCUGGACGACCUUGGCUAUGUUGGCUCGGCUCAUCCUCGGUCGGCGGCUUACCAACGUGCAACAUGGGCUCUGCUGCAUCACGUGGGCCAGUUGGUGAUGGUGAUGUGACUGAUGUGUGUUCAGAUUCUGUCUCUUUCUCCAGAUUCAACUGAUGGUUGUUAUUCGUGGCUCUCUCGACUCCGAAUCUGGACUCCAAUGCUUCUAAUUCUUCAAAUUCUUCGAACUCAAAUAAUUGCCGAGAAUUUUCUUCACCAAUUCGCUCCCCCUGAAGGGAAGACUCGGAGACUCCCCUUGAAUAGUAAGGUUCAGAUUCGCGAAAAGAAACGUCCAAGGAUACAUGAAUGGUGUCGGUGAGCGGAUCAUAACAACGAUAGCCUUUCUGAAACUCGGCAUACCCAAGAAAGAUACACUGUUUGGCACGAGGAUCAAGUUUGCUUCUUUGCAGCUUGGGAACAUGAACAUAUACUAUGCAUCCGUAAACACGGGGCUCCAAGUUAGGCAAUGAUGGUACGGAAAGAAGAUAUUGGAGCUGCUGUAGAGGACUUUGAAAUUCGAUCACCCGAGAGGGAGUACGAUUAAUGAGAUAGGCAGCAGACUUCAAAGCUUCUCCCCAAUAUUCAAGAGGUACAUUCAUGCCAAAUAAGGAUGCUCGAACAACUUCAAGCAACUGACGAUUCUUUCGCUCUGCCAAUCCAUUUUGUUGAGGAGUAUAGGAAUUUGAAGUCUGAUGUCAAAUUCCGUGAGCUUGCAUAAAUUCUUGCAUAGGACCAUUAACAUACUCUCCGCCAUUAUCAGAUUGAAAAACUCGAAUAGCUUGUUGAUACUGUGUAGACACCAUCUUGUGAAAUUCUUUGAACAAGGAACAAACCUCACUCUUAUUGUUCAAGAGAGACACCCAAGUCAUUCGAGUACAGUCAUCAAUAAAAGUCACAUAAUAUCGAGCUCUAGAAUGACUAGGGAUCGUGGCAGGUCCCCAAACAUCAGAAUGAAUUUUCAUGAACGGAAUAGGACUUUUAUUAAGACUAGGUGAAUAUGAAAUCCGGUGGCUUUUAGCCAAUUCACAUACAUCACAUCGAAAUUCUGAAUCACUAAUAUUUGAAAAUAAAUGGGGUUGUAGUUUCUUAAGAUAACUAAAAGAUAGAUGUCCCAAUAACCAUACUGUUGCCUUUGCAUUUUCUACUCCAUUGACCUGAUUCACUUGUCCCAAUAAUUGUUGCUCUCCUUGUUCUGUCAGAUCCAGGUAGUAAAGUUUUCCCUUUCUAGUACCACAACCAAGAACCCGUCGAGUUAGAAUGUCUUGAAACACACAAAACGAUAGAUAAAAAGUCACAAUACAUGAUAAUGCUUGAACGAUUUGACCAACCGAGAGGAGAUUAUAUGCUAAUGAUGGGACAACUAAAACAGAAUCAAGAGUUAAUGUGUUGGAGAGGACAAUAGAGCCUUCUCCGAUGACCGGAGUUGGAGUACCAUCAGUAGUAGAAACAAUAUUUUGAGUGGAGGGUUUAAAUGUUAUCAAGAGACUAGGAUCAUUAACCAUGUGGUCUGACGCCCCUGAAUCAAUUAUCCAAGAACUAUUCCUAGAUACCUUACCGGUCAUACCUGUUUGUGCGACAUUAGCGGAUGCAUCAAUGGAUGGUUGUUGUUCAUCUGUAGUAGCUAAGGCAGCAUUUGCUUGAUUCUUUCAAGGUUUUCUUGUGAAAUCCCACCAAUUUGGGUAGCCGAUGACUUCAUAGCAUCGUUGCUUGCUAUGACCCAAGUCUCCACAAACCGGACACUUGACAUUUGCAUAGGGAUUUGGUUUUGCUGGGAAGUUACGUCGUGGAGCAUUUGAGAAGCCUGGAGGAGGUCCUUGUUUGCGUUGGACAACCAUAACAGAAGACUCAGAGGCUUGUCCCAUAACUUGUUGAUUAGAAUGCACCUUUCGAACAUAGGCAUAACUUUGCUCCAAGAUGAAUUUUGGGUCUUUGUGAAGGAUCUCACCAUGAACUUGAUCAUACUCUGAAUCGAGCCCACUAAGGAACAUGUGAACUCGCAUACGCGCCAUAGCAGUUGUUUCUUGAACAACUCCAGCUACUGUGUUGUUUUGAGAGGCAAUACGUUGAUCGAUCUCCUGAAACAUUCCCACCAAUUCAUUAUAAUAGGUAGGAAGAGGCCGACCAUUCUGUCUCGCUGCAAAACACUUCUUAUUUAAUUCAAAAAUUCGGGUUUCAUCAGAAUCAUCAUAAAAGGUCUUCUCAACUGCUUCCCGAACAUCUUUGGCUGUUGGUAGUCGGAUAUAUCGAUUGAUAAGUGAUGGCUCCAUGGAGUCAAUGAGCCAACUCUUUACUCUCUCAUUCUCUGUGGCCCAAGUUUCAAAUUCAGGCGAAUUCUCAUCUGGUGCGAUUCUGGCUCCAGUGAGGUAACCAACCUUACCUCAUGCUCCAAUCCUCAUCUUCAUAAGAGGUGCCCAUAUUGAAUAAUUGGUUUCAUUCAAGGCAACACUGGUCGGAAAGGCCAAGUUGUCUUGAGUGGUGGUGUGAUAAUGGUUGACGACCGGAGGCAUGAGUGCAAAGGGGUUUUUAGGUCCGUUGAUUUGAUCUCCCAUUUGAAUAUUAAACUAAAAAGGUUGAAGGAUAGAACAGAGUGGGGCAAGUCUAUUGUGGGAGUGUUUUGGUGAAGCCGAGCCGAGCCGAGCCAAGUUAAUGCUUUGACUGAAGACUGUGUUGAUGCGCAAAGGCUGGCAGAGACAAAGAAACAAAAAAGUUGGUAGAGCUUUUGUCUGUUUGCUGAAAGGGUUUACGGCUAGGUUCGGAAAAAGAAUGGUUUUGACUUUGCUUUGGUUUGUUUGUGGUACGCAGCGGAUUUUGCUUUGGGUGUGAUAAAAUUCGGGUUUCGGGUUUUGAAAAAAAAAAAAAACAAAGUUCGAUUGGCUCUGAUGCCAAGUAGAAAAAUAAGGAUUCAAUAUAAUUUGGAAUGCUUCAAUAUCUAUUCUUCUCCAUAUUGGAGGUUUAUAUACAGAUACAAUUAUAAUGCUAAUAGGAAAAGUAUCUCCUACAUCUAUACAAAAAUAUUUAACCUACACAUACAAGGAAAGUAAAUAUUUACAAAUAUUCUACACAGACGACUGAAUUCGGUCAAGAUUCGGGGCUCAUUGCAAAACAAUGAGUCUUGUAAAUCUCGUCAUUCCACUAAAAAUCAACAUAUUACACGUCAGAAACAGACACUUCUGCUCAAAGUUACCGCACCACGAAUUUCAUAGCCAGAGUUGAAAUCUUUUAUCCGAGAUACCAAAAAUAUCCAAAAUCGUAGCUUCCUUGAGAUCCCAACAGCAAACAUCCUCUUUAUUCGAGAAUUUUCAAUUUUUCAAUCAUUUGUCUUACGAAUGUAACGCUUCCUCCUUUGGAUCUUUUUCUUGUAACACCAUUCCUUAUUGUUAACAUUAGGCUGUAAGUAGAAUGUCAUCAAUUGUAAAGGAGGUGGCCAUGGAGGUUUGAGUGAUUGUGGGAGGAACACAUCCUUAGUCUUUGCAGGCAACUUGGGAACACAUGACAGGACCCACCCCGAAUUUCACCCUGAAACCUGAAGUAAAUCUUGCGGGGUCCACCUCCAAGAAAAAAUUUACCAAAAAUUCAGCACAACUUACCUUGAAAAUAGAUAACCCUUACCUAAAAAAAAAAUUCAGACAAACACUUUUAUUAUAAAUCCUCCAUCCUCAACUCUUGGAGCCUUCCUACUCCCCAAGUUCAUCACAACAUGACCUAGUUAACUAACAACAAUCUCAUAGGUCAUCAGAGUAAUUCUAAUAAAGAAGGAAAACAUAGAUAAGAGAGCCAACGAAAGCUGUGAUAUUGACUAUGCCUCAACUCCGUGUACGCCCGACCUCUUCUACGCUAACCUGCAAUCUGGGCAUUUUAAACCGAAAAGCCCAGGGGAAAGUAUUUGAAAAAUGUUAGAGUGAGUGGAUGAAAAAUAAUCAAGUAACUGAUCGCAAAAUAACUAAACAAACUUAAUUACUUUCCCAUUUUCCAAUAAUCAAGAAAUUUGUGGCGUGCAAGUGUUGAUAAAACCUUCAUAAAGAAAAUCCCAAGAAAACAGACUAGCCCCGCUAGUCAAAAUAACGACAAAGAUAAAUAAUAACCUUCGUAAAAGAAAGUACCAAAAUAAUGGACUAGCCCCGCUAGUCAAUAACAACAUUAAAGAUACUUAAAGACCUUUGUAAAAAGAAAUAUCGAAAAGAUGGACUAGCCCCGCUAGUCAAGACAAUAAAUAUUAAAUAAGAAGCAGCUAUAGCCAUACAAGUGAGCCUCCCAUGCUCGGGUGCCUCCCAGGCAAAAGUACUCUCAUACUCCCUACACCUUCACGUUAUGAUAACAGAGAGGGUGUAGGGUUUGCGUGAUGUCGUCGACUACAUCACAUCACCCGAAGGCAAAAAGGGCCUGAGUAACCCCACUUAAAACGUGGAAGCCACAUCGCCUCGAAAGGCAGAAUAACAUGCUAGCAUUAGUAAUAUAUUAUCUGACAAGUAUGGCAUAAAUAACGAAACAUAAAUCCAUGUGAGUUUUCCCGAAACUCAUAACUAAAGCAUAAGUACGAUUCCCAACCGUACUCAAAGAAUUCAAAGAGCAAAGAAAUUAAUUAAAUUCAACGACGUGUCCCACACGUUAAAAUGUUCAAUGAAAUAAUUAACUUAUAUAAUUAUCAUCUUUCGAAAACUAGGCAAUAUGCAAAUCUGGAUAUAAUCUCAAAUCCGAAAAUCAUAAAGAAUAUCAAAACUGAAAUACCAAAUCUCUAACCCAAGCUCAAAUCCAUAAGUUCAUUAUCGAAAACAUAACCAAUAUGUCAAUCUCAAAUAAAUUCCAUAACCAAUAUGCCAAUCUCAAAUAAAUUCCAUAAAUCAUGGCAAAGAUUAAUCAAUGCAUCAAAAUCAAAUAAAUUCAAAGACCAUUUCAUAAGCUGAAAUUACAAUUUAAGCUUGGAAAAUAUAAUGGCAACUUAUAAAAUCAUGCAUGCAAAUUAAUUAAAAACUAAAAUGUCCACUCACAGAUUUAGACCUAAGCCUGAUGAAACCCGAAUCGCCACUCAAGCGAGGUCCUCUCAUAUCCUGACACAAUAACCAUGCUUAGAACCAAACUUCAAUUCCAGAAAAUAAAUACUUAAAUAUAAACACCAAAACUCUUCUGCUUAACUCACUACCCUUACCCUUAAUUACUAGGGUUAAGUUCACUGGAUUCCCACCAAACUCCACCACAACCUUAAUUCAUCAAUUCUAACAUUCUAGAAUCAAUACCAAGGAAAUCCAACGGUCGAAUUUUCAUUCUAACAACCGCCAAAAUUCUCAAUCUUUGAAAAAUCCCAAACCUAACCAAAACUCGUCCAAAAAUUCCAAACUUCACAUUAUUAAACUCCUCUCAUUAAAACAAACUCAAAAACAUGAAAAACUACCCCUAAGGGGCGGCGCCGCCGUCUUCUCCGCCAGUAGCCGAACUCCGGCGACCUCCAAUGACACGACCCACCCCGAAUUUCACCCUGAAACCCAGAGUAAGUCGUGCGGGGACCACCUCCAAGGAAAAUUUACUGAAAAGAUUAAGAAAAUCUCCCUUGUAGAUGGACAACUCUAACUCGAAAAUUUCAUAUUACACUUUUACUUCAUCACUUCCGAACCUCACUUAAUAUACAAUAAUCUCAAAGUAUUCAGAGCUACUAAACACAAGCGGAAGCAAGAAAACACGAGUAGGUUGAACAAGUAACCUACUGGCGAAAACUGGCAGAAAUGCGGGUGACUAUGCCUCGUCUCCUACUAGAUCCAACCCGAACUCUGCAGACUGGGCAAUUUAAAACAAAGGGCCCAGGGGAAAACAUUUAAUAAUGUUAGAGUGAGUGGACAAAAAUAAAAUAAUAAAUAAAAUAUUUAUGUUUCCCCAAAAUUAAUUUCUAAGGAAAAAUCGAAUGCAUGCCGCAAGCGAUAAAACUUUUAUCUCAUAAAAUAUCGAGCCUCUCAGACUCUAUAAUAUAUGUAUGUAUUUCACUCGUCCAUACUCCCUAUAUAAAUUCAUGGGUCUAUAUAGGGCUACUACGCUCGCGUCCAACGCUCACGUCACGCCUUAAUGCGGUGCUACACUACGCCAUCAAGGUGGACAGACGGGUGUAUAAAUAUGUGUCCAUACCCCCUAUAUGAAUUAAACACUCAAAUAGGGCUACUACGCUUACGUCCAACGCUCACGUCACACCAUAAUGCGGCUAUAUGCUACGCCAUUAAGGUGGACAGACACAUAUGGCUAGCUAGCAUUUUCUAUACAUACUCUCUCAUAUAUACAUAUUUAUAUUCACCGAAAAUCCCAUUUUCGGUAACUCUCUCAAAGAAAUAAAAAGCGUCAAAAUUAAUUGACGUCAAAACUCCAACAAAAGGANNNNNNNNNNNNNNNNNNNNNNNNNNNNNNNNNNNNNNNNNNNNNNNNNNNNNNNNNNNNNNNNNNNNNNNNNNNNNNNNNNNNNNNNNNNNNNNNNNNNNNNNNNNNNNNNNNNNNNNNNNNNNNNNNNNNNNNNNNNNNNNNNNNNNNNNNNNNNNNNNNNNNNNNNNNNNNNNNNNNNNNNNNNNNNNNNNNNNNNNNNNNNNNNNNNNNNNNNNNNNNNNNNNNNNNNNNNNNNNNNNNNNNNNNNNNNNNNNNNNNNNNNNNNNNNNNNNNNNNNNNNNNNNNNNNNNNNNNNNNNNNNNNNNNNNNNNNNNNNNNNNNNNNNNNNNNNNNNNNNNNNNNNNNNNNNNNNNNNNNNNNNNNNNNNNNNNNNNNNNNNNNNNNNNNNNNNNNNNNNNNNNNNNNNNNNNNNNNNNNNNNNNNNNNNNNNNNNNNNNNNNNNNNNNNNNNNNNNNNNNNNNNNNNNNNNNNNNNNNNNNNNNNNNNNNNNNNNNNNNNNNNNNNNNNNNNNNNNNNNNNNNNNNNNNNNNNNNNNNNNNNNNNNNNNNNNNNNNNNNNNNNNNNNNNNNNNNNNNNNNNNNNNNNNNNNNNNNNNNNNNNNNNNNNNNNNNNNNNNNNNNNNNNNNNNNNNNNNNNNNNNNNNNNNNNNNNNNNNNNNNNNNNNNNNNNNNNNNNNNNNNNNNNNNNNNNNNNNNNNNNNNNNNNNNNNNNNNNNNNNNNNNNNNNNNNNNNNNNNNNNNNNNNNNNNNNNNNNNNNNNNNNNNNNNNNNNNNNNNNNNNNNNNNNNNNNNNNNNNNNNNNNNNNNNNNNNNNNNNNNNNNNNNNNNNNNNNNNNNNNNNNNNNNNNNNNNNNNNNNNNNNNNNNNNNNNNNNNNNNNNNNNNNNNNNNNNNNNNNNNNNNNNNNNNNNNNNNNNNNNNNNNNNNNNNNNNNNNNNNNNNNNNNNNNNNNNNNNNNNNNNNNNNNNNNNNNNNNNNNNNNNNNNNNNNNNNGGGAGGCUGCUUGGAGGGGUUGUUGCACGGGAGGAGGGCUACAAAACCGUACCAAGCUUGCCCGGAUUGGUGGCCGGAGGAGGAAGUUCCGGCGAAGGGAAGCUCGGGGCAGUCGGUUCUUCGGGCGGCACCGCUCACUCACGGCGGCGCGUAGGGGGGCUGUCACCGGUCUAGAAAUGUUGCUGGGAGGGAGACCGACCGAACGGGACCGGUCCGGCGGCGAACGGAGGUCGGACGGCGGCGGGAGGACGGCCGGAAUUCUGCUGGGUGUAGUGAGAAGAAAAUCGGGUGGGAGGAGAGAGAAUCGGGAGAGAGGGAGAAGAGAAAGAAGAAAGAAAUGGGUUGGGCUCGGCCCAGCCGACCCAACACCCCUUUUUAACCCAAACUUCCAAAAUAAAAACACCCCGAAAAAUAAUACCCGAAUAAAAAUUACCUUUUACUAGCUAAAAUUACCAUUUUUACCGUCGUCGUAUUUUCCUCAUACGAAUAAUCCUCCGCACAUAAUCGUCCCCGAAACCCCUCUAGGGACCAAUUAAACUAUUUACUCAUGAUCAAGACGGUAAAAUUCUUAUUAUCAUCACGCUAGUAAAUAAGGUAAAAAUAUAAGGGUCGGGAUGUGACAUCCAAUGCUUCCCAAAUUUUAACACAAUAUUCCUCUCAACACACACAACAACUUCCAUAACUAGCACUUAGUUCAAUUCUAAGCUUAACUAGGGUAAUCGAAUCAAAACAUCCAAAAAUCCCUAAUUCUAACCCUAGACCGAAAAUCCUCCUACACACUUCUAAUUGGUUAGUUACCUUCUAGGGGAUUGUUACACACGAAGAGCACUUCCAAAUGGGACCCGAAUCACCAGUGAUGGUAGCUGGAGGAGCGAGUUCUGGCGACGGACUUCAACUGCACAGUCGGAGAUUCCGAGCGUGCCUACCCCCACACGGUGGCGCUAGAGUGUCUCUCUCUGGUCUAGGAAGAUGGCUGGGUCGACGACGGAUCAUUUGGGACCGGUGCGGCGGUCUGUGGUGGCCGGACGGUGACGGACGGAGCUGGGGUAUCCGAUGGGUCGGGGAAGGCUCGGGGAAGAGGAUAGAGGAGGGAGAGAAGAAAUAGGCUUCUCCUACCCGGUCCACAAUUUAAUACCCACAAAAUAAAACCCAAUAAAAAUUUUACCUUUUACUAAUUACUGACUACCCUUUUUAUCUGAUAACUUUUUCAUGCUAACUCCGACUUUAACGUAUAGCAUGUAUACGAAUUCGUAUUAACGUCCUCUACGACCUCCUUUAAGAAAUUUUCCCAAAAUAAUUUUCCUACCAAAAUUCAACUCUAGGGUUCUUAAGUAGUAAACAGUUACUCAAAGCGGUAAAAGACCAAAAUAAUACCAAAAGUAAAUAACCGUAAUUUAAUUUAAGAACCAGGAUGUGACAACACAUACGAGUAUAAGUCUUGGAGUUGGAAAAAUAUGAGGAACAGCUUUGGAGGGUGAAGAAUGUCACAUCCCGGUUCUUAAGUUAAUUUGUGGUUAUUUACUUUUUUGUUACUUUGACAUUUUACCGUUUUAAGUAACUGUUUACUGUUAAAGGACCCUAGAAUUGACUUUUUGUAGGAAAAUUAUUUUAAAAAAAUUUCUUUAAGGAAGUCGUAGAGGACGUUAAUACGAAUAUGUGGACAUGCUAUACAUUAAAAUCGGAGUUCGUAUGUAAAAGUUAUGGUGUAAAAUGUAAAGUUACUAUUUUUAGUCGAGAGUAUAAAAAGGAAAACUUACCGGAUGGGGUCUGGUAGAAAGUAGAAAGUCAAUCUCUCUCUCUACUCUCUCCCGCAUUUCUCUCCUCCUUCGGACUUCAUCACCGUCGUCCGGCCGAGUUAGGUGGCAAGCUUGGUAUCAAAUUGAAGCUUGGAACAUCCUCUUCAAGUCUAGGUAGGUGGCUAGUCGUGUUGCGCCGUUGUGAGGGAGGAAUCACGCCGAGAAGGCGUGGCUAUGCGUGGCGGAGUUGUUGCUGGAGUUUUCUUCUCCGGCCACCAUAGCCGAAGCUACUUGUCACGUUUGGAAGCUCUCAUCUUAUACAACAAAACCCCAAAAGGUUUCAACCUAACUCAAUCUAGGUAAGGAGAUUUGAAGCUUUGAAAUUCUAGGGUUUAAAAUUGGGAUUUUUACUGUUUGGCUUCGAUUACCAUAGUUAGACUUGAAAUUGGACUUUGUCUUAGUUAGGGAAGUUGUUGUGCGUGUUGAGAAGAAGAUUCUGUCAAAUUUUGGUGAGCUUUGGAGGUGGUCGGAGUAGACAGCGACGCCGCCUCUUUUGGGUUGUUUUUCGAGUUGUUUAGCUUGUUCAUGUUGAGAGGAGUCCCAUGGUAUGAAAUUUGAGAAUUAUGGUGAAGUUUUGAAUAGGUUUGGGAUUAUUCGAAGUUUGGUAUUAUCGGUGUGCUACUCGGGAAGAUCCUACCGUUGGAUUUCCCUUAUUUUUGUUUCAGAAUGUUGAAAUAAAUGAAAUGAGGCUGCAGGUGGAGUUUGGCAUGAAUCCGAUAAGCUUAACCUUAGUUCGGUAGUGGGUUAGGCGGAAGAGUUUUGGUGUUUAUAUUUAAGUAUUCAUUUUUCUGAAAUUGAUGUUUGGUCCUAAGCAUGGUUAUUGUCACUACCAGAAGAAAGGUUUUAGCCGAAGAAAAUUAAAAAACCAGGCUGACGAAUUAUUUUUUCGUCGGCUAAAGUCGACGUUAGCUGACGAAAUUUCCUUCGUCGGCUAAUUUAAAUUUUCGUCGGCUAUGGUCAACUUUAGCCGAUGAAAUUUUAAUUUCGUUGGCUAAAGUGUCCUUAUAUUUGCAGAUCUGGACAACAGCUCAUCAUCUGGGAAAAAAAACCAGAGAAAAAGUUUGGGUGUUGUCGAAAUCUGUCCAUAAUUAGUUUGUGGAGCUAUAUAUAGGUACGUAUAUAUGUAUAUAUGUUGAUUUUGAGUUUUAUUUGAGUUGAUCGAUUUUGAGUACGUUGGAUGUAUAUAUAUAUGUGUUGAUCGAUUUGGUUGAUGAUUUGAUAAUAUAUAUGAAGUUGUUGCUAAUAAGUAGUAGAUAUAUAUAUAUAUAUAUAUAUGUUAAUUAAUUUAUAAUAUUGUGUUGAUGGUAUGAAGUUGUUGAUGAUAUGAGUUGAUGAUGAUUUUGUGUAAUGAUGUUGAUAUAUAAUAUUGUUAUGUAAUUAUUAAGUAUAUAUAUAUAUAUAUGUGUGUGUGUUAAUUAAUUUGUUAUUAAUUAGUUGUAGUACGUAGAAUACUAAAUGAAUUGAGAUUUUAUAUAUGGAAUUUAAUUAAUUAGAGUUAUACAUAUAUAUUUUGUUAUAUUUUCAGGAUAUGGAUAAGAGUUCGAUUUCGCUUCCAAAAUGGGACAAAAGAUAUGGUAAAGGAGUUAUGAGUUUUCUGCAAUAUGCGCUGGCUAAUGCUAACGGGAAUACAAUUUUCUAUUGCCCGUGCACGAAAUGUUAGUGUUGCAGCGAUAUGCAUCGAUUUGCGAUUGAUAAAGUAUGGCAGCACCUAAAGAGUAACGGGUUUUGGGAGAAGUACACAUUUGGUUAUAUCACGGUGAAACUUCAUCAGGGGGUCCGCACGAUCAUGGCCAAUUUUCUGAGACGGGUAGUACAUCCAACGAUCCAACAACGGCCUUCAUCAACGACAUGUUUCCUUAUGAGAGCGGUGUAUGAGCUCAAGUACAGUAUAUGCCUGAGCCGGUGCAACCCUUCCCUAGAGUUGUCAACAGUUCUGGUAUUGACAAGUACAACAAACUGCUUGCUUUCCAACAGACCCUUGUGUACCCCGGUUGUCAGAAGACCGUUCUUGAAAGUGUGAUGGACGUAAUAAAGAUUAAAGUUGAGACAAAAUCGACCGUGAAGGCUGUUGAUGAUUAUCUACAGUACACUGCUUCGAUGCUGUCCCACAGUCAUUGUCUUCCUACCACUCAUUAUAAGGUUCGAUGUAUCCUGAAAGAUCUUGGGCUUUCCUACAUCAAGAUCCAUGCAUGCAGAUAUAACUGCGUUCUCUUCUGGGGUAAAGAUCCAAAAGGGAAUGACCUUGGUGGCCUUGACGCAUGUCCGGUAUGUCACACUGACAGGUAUAAGCUGACUCCUGCAGGCAAUAGGAAACUUGUGAAGGUACUUCGGUAUUUCCCGUUGAGGGAUAGGCUAGAGCGGUUGUACAUGUCUUCACACACGGUCAAAGCUAUGAGAUGGCACGCUGAUAGGGAAUUGCAUGACGAAGAUACCCUUAUAUACCUUGCUGACGGGGAGGCUUGGAAGCAUAUAGACAAGGAGUUUCCUCAUUUUGCGUCAGAGGUCCGAAAUGUGAGGCUCGGGCUCUCAUCCGACGGGUUUAACCUUUUUGGCAACAUGAGCCUUCAAUACAGUAUAUGGCCGGUGAUUUUGGUACCGUACAACCUUCCUCCAUGGAUGUGCAUGAAGAAGGAAUACAAUAUGUUGAGUUUGUUGAUUCCGAUGCCCGGUUAUCCAGGGAAGUGUCUCGAUGUGUAUUUAAGACCUUUGAUGAAGAGCUUAAGUUUUUGUGGGACGUUGGUCAUCCCACUUAUGACAAGUACAUGCACGAGAUGUUACAGAUGCAUGUCAUGGUUGUUGGUACCAUCAGUGAUUUUCCUGCCCGUGGGAUGUUGUCGAGCAACGUUGUUAGGGGAUACAAGGCUUGUCCAGAGUGCCUUAGCGAUGAGGGAAGCAGCAGUCAUUGCAACAAGAUAUGCAAAUUGGGUCACCGUACUCUCCUUCCAUAUAAUCACGAAUGGCGGUUCGAUAACAAGGCAUUUGAUGGGACCGUAGAAAACGGCGUGCCUCCUAGAAGAUGGACGGGGGAAGAAAUUUUAGCAGUGCUUAAUGAGUACGAUUUUGGGCAGCUCAGCAAUCAUCUCAAUAUUGUGGCGGCAAUACCUGAAAGACCCGACAUGUACAAAUUCUGGACACAUAAGAGCAUAUUCUAGGAACUCCAUACUAGAUUAAGUUGUUGACAUAUAGAAAAGAAUGUUUGCGACAGUGUGGUGGGUACAGUGCUGAACUUGGAGGGGAAGACGAAAGACGGUCCUAAGGCACGCAUUGAUCUAAAAUAAAUGCUUAUAAGAAGACAUUUGUGAUUGAAAGAAGGGAUGAAAAAAAAGCCUCAAGCUCCUUACACCGUGAAGCCUGACCAGAAGAACGUAAUUUUUAAGUGGAUGAGUUGUGUGAAUUAUCCUUCAGGCUAUGCAGGAAAUAUAGCCCGGUGUUUGAACUUCCAGGACAAUAAGAUAUACGGGUUGAAGAGUCAUGACUGUCAUAUCCUGCUACAACGUCUCUUCCUUGUUUUCAUUCGACCGUUUCUUCCCCAUCAGGUGGUGGAGCCGUUAGUAGCGUUGACAAGAUUCUUCCAGAAGUUAUGCAUAUGGGAAGUGAAAAAAUCUAACCUCUGGAAAAUGCAAGAGGACAUCAUUUAUAUCAUGUGUAAAUUUGAGAGGAUAUUUCCUCCAAAUUUUUUUGACAUCAUGCCUCACCUGAAGAUCCAUCUUCCCGAGCAAUUGUUGCUUACCGGUCCAGUACACUACACUUGGAUGUAUCCCAUGGAAAUGUACGUUUUUUACACCUGAAUUCUUCAAUAUACAUAUUCAAUAAUCAUAACACUUUACAACUUGAUUUAUAGGCAACUUAGAGACUACAAAGAUUAUGUGGCUAAUAAAUUCGCACCUGAAGGAUGUAUAGCUGAAGCAUAUAUUGCGCACGAGUGCGUCACCUACAUAAAGUUGUAUUUAGGAGCGUUGAAUGAAACUCCGCAAACCAUACCGGUAAAUGUACCGAAGUUCAAUCUUUCCAUACUCUCUAGUGAUGUUGAAGUUUAUGAAAUUUUGUCAGACUCCUACAAGUUGCAACCACAUGAGCUAGUCAUUGCCCACUGGUGGGUAUUGAUUAACUGUCUAGAAGUUGAAUACUGGAAAAACAUCCAUCUAUAUUGUCGAGACAUUCAAGGUGAUCUCGAGUACCACAAUAAGGAGUUCGCAAACUAUUUUGGCAGCUAGGUACGUAAUUCAAUAUUUCUGUACGUAUUUAUGUUUAUUGCAUAAUUAUCCAUAUUUACAGUUAAAUGGUUGGUUGCAGAUGAACCAUAUUCAAUUUGAUGGUCACCUAAAUUGGUCGCACGAACUAAGACUUCUAGCGAUAAAGCCGAUAAUGUCAAGAGUUUAUCCGAUGUGCAAGGUGAAUGGCGUGCAAUUCAUAUGUGAACAGAGAGACAGCAGACAGAGAACACAGAAUUCUGGGGUGAUGACGCAUAGUGGGCGGAAUGGAGUUGACUAUUACGGUGUUCUCCAUUCAGUGGUGGAACUCGUUUAUGGGCAAGGCAUGACAGUGCACCUCUUCAAGUGUAAAUGGUUUGAUACUAGGCCGCAUAGCAUGAAGACCGAUCAGUACGGAAUAUUAUCGGUGAACACUGCUACAAGUUCUUACGAAGAUGACCCGUUCGUUUUUGCCACAUCGGUAAAACAAGUGUUUUAUCUUGAUGACCUUCCUAAGGGUGACCUGUGGAAAGUAGUCAACCUUGUGCAUCCUCGAAACAUUUACUGGGCGGCUACACUUGGAGAGGCCGAAGACAAGGAAGAAGAUGUUGCGUAUCAAGAGCCCAAAGCAAUAGGUAUUCCUAACUCCUCUACCGUUCGCCGUAAUAAUUUUAAAGCGGGUCGUUCGGUGCGAAUUCGUGAUGAAGAGCCAAGGUUUAUUGAUGUUGAUCGAAAUCAAGAAACAAACGAAGACUCUGGCGAUGAGGAAAGACAUUGAUUACCAGAAAUUAAUUCUGAAGACUCAUCGGAUGAUUCCGAUUACAAGCCUUAGUUUUAAUUUAGAGGACGUAAUCCAUUAAUUUGUAAUAAAAAAGAAUGUAUUACCUUUAUAGUUUACAUAUGUUGAAUUCAUAUUUGUGUUAUUGUAUAUGAAUUUUGGUGAUAUAUGAACAGGAAGUUAGUAUGGUUUACAUUAAACCUUCUGUUUUUUUAAUGUAUUUUUUAUACUUUAGCCGACGAAAUAUACCAUAAUUCGUCGACUUAAACCAUCUUAGCCGACGAAUUAUAGUAUAUUUCAUCGGCUAAAACCAACUUAUUUGAACGAAAUAAGUCAUAAUUCAUUGGCUAAGAUGCGGUUAGCCGACGAAUACCCUAAUAUUUCGUCAGCUAAACCCUAAACCCUAAACCUUAGCCGACAAAUACCGUAAUAUACGACUUGUUGCGUCUCAUCGAUUUGAAACUAUUUUCAGUUGAAGGUCCGGCCAAAAUACUUAAUUUCGACGGUCCAAUGACCUUUUCCGUGCGUUUAGGGGUUUAGGUGUUUGACUUAUGGGAUUGAUCGUCCGGAUCGAGCCCUUAACCUUGUCGGAUCAAGUUGAAUUUUUUCCCAUUCAUGUAUUUUAUCAUGAUGGUCAGAUCUGACCGUCGGAUUUUCGUUUCUCAAGUUUGAUAAUCACAAUCACAACAUGGUUACUAAUGUUGUAUAACUUGUUUACCAAGUGUUAAGUAAAUGUUCCGUUUCAAAAACAAACUAUACGUAGAACCUUCAAAUGCAAAAAAUCAUGAAAUAAGAUAUGACCAGAAUGGUGAAAUACGUCUACGGUUGAAAAAUCACGGUAUUCCGGUAAAGUCUCAGUGCCGAUAGUUGCGGUCAAUGCAAUUUUCCAUUCUUUCUCUUUAUGGGUAGCCCUAUCUUCGGUGGUUAUUUUCCGUAAAAUUUUUAUACAACUUGUUGCGUCUCAUCGAUUUGAAACUAUUUUCAGUUGAAGGUCUGGCAAAAUACGUAAUUUAGACGGUCCAAUGACUUUUUCCGUGAGUUUAGGGGUUUGACUUACAUGAUUGACUGUCCGGAUCGAGCCCUUAACCUUGUCGGAUCAAGUUGUAUUAUUUUCUUUUACUUUUUCCACUCACGCCUUGGGUUCGGCGUCAAGUGCUUGGAAACCACCGACACCGGGUCCGGGGCAUGACAUGUGUCUUACUUGAUUCCUGAUGAGAGGACCAGGAUUAAGAUGUUCAUUGGGGCACUCGGUGGUGUGUAUGGAGACAAGAUGACGGGUGUAGUGUACCCGACCUUUCUUGAUGCGGUUGGCGUAGCUAUGGCUAUUGAGACCAGGAGGGCAUAUAGUGCCCGGCCCCGAGAUUUCAGGGGUCUUAGUCAGGGUCCAUCAAAGAAGGCUGCUUCAUCAUCCGCUUCUGGAUCUUCAGUUGGUAGUGGCAGUAGUGGUGGAUCGAGUUCUAAUUCUUCGUUCAGGGCUAAGGGACGUCACAUGAGACCUUUCCGGAGCUAGUUGGGUAGACAGUAGACUUGACAGUUUGGUAUUGGUGGCAGCUUCCAGGGUGGGACAUCUGGUGGUUAGACUUUCUCUUUUGGACAAUAGCAGUCUACUAGGUGCUAUGAGUGUGGUAGUCAAGAUCAUUUCAGGAGAGAUUGUUCCUUAUUGGCUCAGAGAACCGCCCCCACCCCCACUCACCUAGUCGGACAGUCUUCAGCCAGAGGCUCCAGCAAUGGUACUCAUGUCAGUUUAGCAGCUAGGGGUGGCUCUCAACAAGGUAGUGGUUAGCGUGGACGUCCUAUGACUCGCGCUAGACUUCAUGCUAUGACCCAGCAGGAGGAUCGUACUUCACCAGUGGUCGUUAUUGGUACGUGAUUAAUUUUUGGUCAGCCUGAUUUUACUUUAAUUGAUCCCGGAGCUACACAUUCAUUUAUGUCUAGUAGAUUUGCCCUCCACGUCACAUCCCAACCCUUAAAUUUUUACCAUAUUUACUAGCUUGGUUAUAAUAAGAAUUUUACCGUCUCCGUUAACGAAGUUAUAGUUUAAUUGGUCCCUAGAGAUGUUUUAGGGGACGAUUAUUUUUGGAGGAUUAUUCGUAGGAGAAAAAAAAUGUGGCGAAGGUAAAAAUGGUAAACUUUAGCUAGUAAAAGGUAAUUUGUAAUAGGGUAUUUUGUUUUGGGGUGUUAAAUUGAUGGAGUUGGGUUUAAGUGUGGUGUUGGACCGGGUUGGUGUAAGGCUCAAACACCAUAUCCCCCUCUCUUUUUCUUCUCUUCCUCUUCUCUUUUUCUUCUCUUCCUCCCGACCUCUCUCCCGACUUCUCCCGCUGCCGGAUCCUCCAGCCAUCGCCUACCGCUGUCUGGCCAGCCACCGGCCGCCGCUCCAGCCCAGUUCAGAGCCCCGCCACCUCCUCUCCCUUCCCGGCUUAGUGUCCCCACCGGUGAUGCCGCCGAUCGAGAGAUAUUCCACCGGAGACGUCGACUGCUCCUUCGUCGGAACUCCCAUUUCCGGCCACCAUAACUCGCGAUUCUUGGCUCGUUGUGAAGCUCUCCUCCCGUGCAUCAAUCCCUCCAAAGAGCUCGCCCUCUAGUGGUCUAGGUAAGGAGAACCGGUGAGUGGAAACUCUAGGGCUUUUAUGAUGUUUUCGUUCGAUUGGCAUAGUUAGGCUUGGAAUUGGGUGUUGUGCUAUUUAAGGAAGUUGUAGAGGGAGUUGAGAGGAAGAUUCUGUUAAAAUUUGGUGAGCAUUGGAGGUCGCCGGAAUCGGCCUCCGGCCGCCGCCGCUGUGUAGGAGAUUUUUAUAGUUUUAAAUGUAGAAUAUUAAGGGGAGUUUAUUGAUGUAAAGUAUGGAAUUUUUGGAUGAGUUUUGGAUAGGUUUGUGAAUUUCCUAAGUUUGGUAUUUUUGGCGGUUAAUUAAUAUAGAAUCCGGCCGUUUGAUUAAAGUUGUUUAAACUGUGGGAAGAUGUAGUUACGGCUGCUGGUUCUAGGGUUGAAAUGUGGACCAUUUCGAAGUUAGACAAAGAUGAGCGUGAUAAUGGCUCUCGGUUAAUUUUUGCCUAUUUUGUGUAAAUAUUGGAAUUUCGGCUGGGAAAUUAAUAUUAUAUUUGGAAUAGGUCGUGAGGAGGCUCGAGCAGACGAGGCCCCAGAUCGACAUCAGGCUUAGGCCUAAUUUGUGAGUGGACUUUUAUUUUAAAUAAUGUGCAUGCGAAAUAAUUUAUGUUGUUAGAGAAUAACCGAAAUUGAGAAUUUUGGUGAGUAUGUAUAUAUAUCCAUAUUUGGAUGAUUAUGAGAAUAAUAUGUAUAUGAAGAAAUGCUAGCUAGCUAUACGUACUUUUCCACCAUACUGAGGUAAAAUUCAAUUAUGGUGCGACGUGAGCGUUAGACGCAAUUGUCGUAGCCCUAUAUAAAUAUAAUAAUUUAUAUAGGGGAUAUGCGCGUAUAUAUUUAUACACCGUCUUUUCCACUAUAAUGAAGUAAAAUGCUAUUAUGGUGCGACGUGAGCGUUAGACGCAAGCGUCGUAGCCUUGUAUGAAUUUUCUAUUUGUCUUUAUUGUUUCAAGAAAAUUCAUACAAGGGAUAUGACGAGUGUAAUACAUACAUAUUUUAUUUUAGCUUGAGAGGCUCUUAUUUUUGAAGUGUUGGUGACUAGCGCGGCUAGUCAUGUGUCGGUAAAUUCGGUAAAUUUUUAAAAGCUUUUGAGCUGGUUGCAUGCCAUUAAUUGUUUUUCCACUGAAGUUUAAAUUGGGAAAGCAUAAAGAAUUAUUUGUUUUAAAUUUAAUUUAUUUUUGUCCACUCACUCUAACGUUAUUAAAUGUCUUGACCUGGGCCCUUUGUUUUAAAAUGCCCAGUCUGCAGAGUUCGGGUUGGAUCUAGUUGGAGGCGAGGCAUUGUCACCCGCAUUUCCACCACUUUUCAUCCGUAGGUUACCUGUUUAACCUACCUGUGAUUUCUUACUUCCGCUAGUGUCUAGUAGCUCUGAAUACUUGGGUUUAAUGUAUAUUAUUUCGGUUGUGGGCGAAGGCUUGUUGACAUUUUAGAAUAUUUGUCGGAGGAUUUAUGUCAUCUUAUUUGGAUAAUUAUGUGUUGAUUUGGAAGAUGUUAUAUUAUUUUCUGUUAUUGGUGGUGGUUGUAUUUGGGGAGCACGUAGGCUCCAGAAGUUAAGGUUGGAUUGAGAAUUUUAGAAGUGUUUGCAGGUUUUCUUUAGAAGGGGUUGUCCAUUUUCAAUGGAGGUUAUGCCGAAUUUUCGGUAAUAUAUUCCUUAGAGGUGGUCCCCACAAGAUUUACUCCAGGUUUUAGGGUAAAAUUCGGGGUGGGUCUUGUCACUCCACACCAAUGUGUCAUUAUCGUCUCUUCUAGACGAGUGGCAUGUGUCUCUACCCUCAGGCGAGGUAAUGAGAAUAGAUUGGGUGUUUAAUGGUUGUGAAGUUCUAGUGGAGGGAUUUAAUUUCAAGGCAAUUCCAUUAGAUAUUGUGGAGUUUGGUGUGAUCUUGGGAAUGGACUUUUCAGAGGCAUAUAGAGCUAUGAUAGAUUGUUUUCGAAAAGUAGUAGUGUUUCAAAGUCCAGAUGGACCUGAAGUUACAUUCACUAUGCCAUUUCUUGCAUCAUGCGACACAAAUGUUGUGUCGCCUGAUAAAAAUCGUAAGUUUCGCCUUCUAACAUGUCGUUGAUGAGGUUCUCUGAUGACAUAAAUGUUGUGUCGCCUAUAAGAACCUCAGGCGACAAAAGACUUUUUUCAUUUUGUGUCGCCUUAAUUGAGAUAAGACGACAUGGUAUAUAUGUCGCCUGAUAGUUUAAACAACGACAUGCUAGAAGGCGACGUAUCUUUUUUUUGCCGUGAGGCGACACAUCUCUUUGUGUCGCCUUAUAACUACGAGAGAGAGAAAUACGCCUUACAACAAUAUAUAGGUGUAGGUUAAUUUGUUUAAAGACGACAUUUAAACAUCAUCUGAAAAUGUUACAGGCGACAUAUACUUGAUGAAUUAGAAUUUAAACUUUUCCACGCUACAUUUAUGUGUCGCUGGAUGAACCCACACGACACACUAUUGAUGUUGUUUCUGGUCUAGACGUAGUACGACGACACAUAUGCAUUGGGCGAAUGAUCUUCAGGCAACAUAUAUUUUUUCUUUUUUCAUUUGGUCUCUUUAAGACAAUAGGUAUCUGUCGUCUGAUAUGCUUUAAGCUUUCACUACGUGAUAUCUUUUAGGCUUUCGACAUUUCCAGGCGACAUUUUUCUAUCGUAUGAAUGAGCUUGAGCUACAUACAAGUGAUGUCUUCUUUUGAUUUAAAUCGAAUGUACUGUACAAUUAGUAUACAAAAUUGUACUAUUUGUAUACAGUUUCAAAUAAAUUACAACAUAAGAAAAGACAUAAAUCUAAUUUCUUCAUGUUUCCUCUCCGAGGCUAGAUCUGCUGCCCUCAAUAUUGACCAAACAACAAGCCCCUUUUUUACAAGCCACUUGCUGGAAAUUUGCCAUGACCUCCCUGUAUUCUUCUAAAUACCAAGUUAUCGACAUAUAGCACCAAAGACAACGAAAUUAGCCACAACUCAAUUCAAAAACCACAACACAGUAACAACACAUCAAUUCAAAUUGUAAUCCUUACCUCCAAAUCCGCUCAAAAACUAACCCUGAAACUUCUGCUUGCCCGAUUUUCCAAUGCAUGCAACAUAACGAUCAAGUCAGUCUUCUUAACAACACCCCAAAUAUCACAAACCAAGCAGCAAUCACAAAGGCGAAUGUUUUACCUUUUGAAGACCGACCAGAGUCCCUGAUUAGGAAUUCGAGCCUCCGUUCCAAUCCCAAACCACGACUGCUGCUCUUAAAUCCCUCCAAGGCGCGACUGGGCUUCACCUAAGAGCUACACACUCGUCGGAUUUUAGGUUCGGGUUUACUCCCAACACAACAACAACAACCCUCAUAGCAUCCCCGGUGUUGGUUUGGUAUUCAGAAAGAUGAGACGAAUUCGAGAAGGGGAAGAAUGACGCCGAGAAACCUCGCCUGAGACUCUCCGAAAAAACCCGAAAAAACCCGGAAAAACUUAAUUGGGGAUAUCUCCGAUUAGGGCACGAGUUAGAGAAACAACAUCACAGAAAGGAAGAGGGAACUGAGAAGGAGAAAGACCUUACCAUCGACCAACUAGACGAUGGCCGGAAACGCCGGAAUUCCGAGAAGACAACCGGGUUCCUCCUCCACCGAUCUCUCUCAUCUAUGGCUCUACAAACGAUUUAAGGGUUGGGUUAGCUAGGUAGAGAAAAGGAAGUCGAACGUUUUGAUGGUGGUCUCGCGGUGUGCGGUGGCCAGAGACGACGGCGUCAGGCGGAGGACGCCACUGACGCAGGCGAUGUCGAGAGGAGAGGGAGAGAAGAACGGGUCAACGCCCGUAAUGGCUUUUGACUGAAGUCAGCCCCCUCUUUUCCUUUUUAAUACCCAAACCAACAGCCAAGAUUUAAAAAUUUGGUAUUCAAAUUUCAAAAAAUUUAGAAUUGCGCCUUUUUUUUUUUAGGAAUUGCGCCUCUUUUCCUUAACCUAACAUACGAACAUAUUAAUUUGUCUAGGUACAAAAUCAAAUGUUGGGGGGAACCAAACUCAAUUGUUGAGGGUAUUCCCUCUAAAGGUAUUUCAGAAACUAAAAAGUAACUAUAAGACAACACAUAAAUGUUGUCCUAUUAACAAAAAAAAUUUGUCUGCAAAAUGAAAUUGUUUGGAGGGAAUCCACCUAAGUUAAAAUUAAGGCUAGGGUUUCGUUUACCUCCAAAGUCAGAAAUUACACUAUUCCAGUAUCAGCCAACACAAAAAUGAUGUCUUAUUAACAAAAAAAGUUGUCUGCAAAAUCAAAUGAUUUGGAGGAAUCCACCUAAUAAGUUAAAAGGCUAGGGUUUACCUCCAAAGUCAGAAAUUACUAAAUUUCAGUAUCAGCUAACACAUAAAUGUUGUCUUAUUAACAUAAUUAAGUAAAAUUUUCACACAAGUUGUCAAUUCAUAAAAAUUCAAUAUCAGACAACACAUAAAUGUUGUUGGAUUAACAUAAUUAAGUAAAAUUUUCAUACAAGUUGUCAAUUCAAUAAAAUUCAAUAUCAGCCAACACAUAAAUGUUGUCUUAUUAACAUAAUUAAGUAAAAUUUUCACACAAGUUAUCAAUUCAUAAAAAUUCAAUAUCAGACAACACAUAAAUGUUGUCGGAUUAACAUAUUUAAUAAAAUUCUCACACAAGUUGUCAAUUCAAUAAAAUUCAAUAUCAGCCAACAAAUAAAUGUUGUUUUAUUAACAUAAUUAAGCAAAAUUUUCACACAAGUUGUCAAUUCAUAAAAUUCAAUAUCAGACAACGCAUAAAUGUUGUCGGAUUAACAUAAUUAAGUAAAAUUUUCAUACAAGUUGUUAAUUCAAUAAAAUUCAAUACAAGUUGUCAAUUCAAUAAAAUUCAAUAUCAACCAACACAUAAAUGUUGUCUUAUUAACAUAAUUAAGUAAAAUUUUCACACAAGUUGUCAAUUCAUAAAAAUUCAAUACCAGACAACACAUAAAUGUUGUCGGAUUAACAUAAUUAAGAAAAAUUUUCACACAAGUUGUCAAUUCAAUAAAAUUCAAUAUCAGACAACACAUAAAUGUUGUCGGAUUAACAUGAGUAAAAUUUUCACACAAGUAUUGGUCAAUUUGAAAAUCCCUCCAAAAGUUGAGAAAAAAUAACCUUCAUAGUUAGACGACCUAUUAGUGUUGUCCGAAUGUAACUUUUAUUUUGACAAUUGAGACUAAAACAGACAUCUUUCUUCACCAACAUAUAUGUAUUGUCCCAAAAACAUACAUUUUUUUCAAAGAAAAUUAGUAUUGUCUAAGUGUAUAUUUCACCGACACAAAAAAAAAAUGUGUCGCCCCGAAGCCUCGAACCAUACAUAAUUUUGUUUGUGUCGCCUGAUGGGUGUUGCCUGAUGCAGGAAAUGGCAUAGGGAUUUCAAGGGGAACGGGAUGUUAUUUCAAGUUACCUAAUAUCAGCUGUUGCUGCUAGAAAAUUGUUAAAUAAAGGUUGUCAGGUGUAUUUAGCACACAUUGUGGAUACAGGUGUGGGAGUUUUAGGAGUGAAGGAUAUGCCUGUAGUGAGGGAGUUUCCAGAUGUUUUUCCCGAGGAGUUGCCUGGUUUGCCUCCUGUAAAGUAGAUAGACUUUACUAUUGAGUUACUUCCCGGAACUAUGCCUAUCUCACAAGCAUCUUACAGAAUGGCUCCAACGGAAUUGAAAGAGUUGAAGACUCAAUUACAAGAGUUGGUGGACAAGGGUUUUAUUCGGCCUAGCAUGUCUCCAUGGGGUGCUCCGAUGUUGUUUGUUAAGAAGAAAGUUGACACCAUGAGAUUAUGCAUUGAUUACAGGAAACUAAAUCAAGUUACUGUGAAGAAUAAAUAUCCACUGCCCCGCAUUGAUGAUUUAUUCGAUCAAUUGAGAGGUGCUACUGUCUUUUCAAAAAUCGAUUUGAGAUUGGGAUAUCAUCAGUUGCGGAUUGGGGAGAGUGACAUAGCCAAGACUGCUUUUCAAUUACGUUAUGGUCAUUAUGAAUUUGUGGUGAUGCCGUUUGGAGUUACUAAUACACCCGCUGCGUUCAUGGACCUCAUGAAUUGGGUGUUUAGUCCAUACCUUGACGGUUUCAUGAUCGUAUUUAUAGAUGACAUCUUAGUCUACUCAAGAAGUGAGAAGGAGCAUGCCAAACAUCUAAGAAUGAUAUUGCAGACUUUGAGAAAUGCUCAGCUGUAUGCUAAGUUCAACAAGUGUGAAUUUUGGCUAGAUAAAGUGGGGUUCUUAGGACAUGCGGUUUCGGCAUAAGGGGUUAGUGUGGAUUCCCAAAAGGUGGAAGCAAUAACAAAUUGGAGAAGACCUGCCACUGUGAUGGAGAUCCGUAGUUUCUUGGGGUUAGCAGGUUAUUAUCAACGUUUUGUGUAAAACUUUUCAAAGAUUGCUGCUCCUCUUACAAGAUUGACCGAGAAGGGUGUUAAGUUUGAAUGGUCAGAUCAGUGUGAGCAAAGUUUUCAAGAAUUAAAGAAUCGCCUGACUUGUCAAGACCCACCCCGAAUUUCACCCUGAAACCCGAAGUAAAUCCUACGGGGACCACCUCCAAGGAAAAUUUACCGAAAAUUCGGCAUAACCUCCCUUGAAAAUGGACAACCCUUACUAGAAAUACCUGCAUUGUCACAUCCCGACCCUUAAAUUUUUACCUUAUUUACUAGCUUGGUUAUAAUAAGAAUUUUACCGUCUCCGUCAUUGAGGUUAUGGUUUAAUUGGUCCCUAGAGGGGUUUCGGGGACGGUUAUGCUUGGAGGAUUAUUAGUAGGAGAAAAAUACGACAACGGUAAAAAUGGUGAAUUUUAGCUAGUAAAAGGUAAUUUUUAUUCGGGUAUUAUUUUUUCGGGGUGUUUUAUUUUUGGAGUUGGGUAUAAGUGUGGUGUUGGGCCGGUUUGGGUGGAGGCCCAAAACCCAUUUCUCCCUUCUCUCGUUUUCUUCCCGGUUCUUCCUCUCCCCCGAGUCCACCCGCUACCCGACUUUCCGGCUAUCCUCCCGCCGCCGUCCGGUCACCAAUCGUCGCCGCACUGGUCCCGUUCGAUCGGCCUCCGACCCAGCUUCCAUUCUAGGCUGGUGAGAGCCGCCCUAGCUCCGCCGUGAAGGAGUUCUCUCCCUCGAAAGGCUCGGCUGCCUUGGUGGUUCCAUCGCUGGAACUUCCUCCUCCGGCCACCAAUCCGGGCAAGCCUUGUACUGUUUUAAAGGUUUCCAACCCAGCCGCCUUGCCCUAAAAGGACUCACUCCGAUUUGCUUUAGGUAAGGAGAAAUUUGAGGUGGAAGUUCUAGGGCGUUUUUUAUGUUUCUGUUCGAUUGGCAUAGCUAGGCAUGGAUUUUGGGUUUGUGCUAGUUAGGAAAGUUGUAGAGGGAGUGGAGAGGAAGCUAAUGUUAAAAUUUGGUAGGAUUUAGAGGUCGUCGGAGUCGGCCUCCUGCCGGCGGAGCAGGCGGCGCCGCUGUUUGGGAGAUUUUUAUGGUUUUAAAUGUAGAAUAUUUAGGGGAGUUUAUUGUUAUGAAUUAUGGAAUUUUUGGAUGAGUUUUUGAUAGGUUUGUGAAUUUCCGAAGUUUGGUAAUUUUGGCGAAUUAAUAAUGUAGAAUCCGGCCGUUGGAUUAAAGUCGUAUAAUCUGUGGAAGAGUGUAAUUAAGGCUGGUGGUUUUAGUAUUGAGGUGUGGACCGUAUCGAAGUUAGGCAUUAAUGAGCGUGUGUAUGGCUCUCAGUUAAUUUUGCAUAUUUUGUUUAAAUAUUAUAUUUUUAGUUGGGAAAUUAAUUAUAUAUAUUUGUGUCAGAGUUCGAGGAAACCUCAUUGGAGUGGCGAUUUGGAUUUCGUCGGGCUUAUGCCUAGAGUUGUGAGUGGACGUUUGUUUUAAUUGAAAAGCAUGCGAUGAAUUAUUUUGUUGAUAAUUUAUUUCUUCUGAUGAGACUUAUUGAUUUCUCGGUUAUUUGGCAAUUCUUCCUCCUUUGGAGAGUUCUCGAAAAUGAGAUUUUUGGUGCAUAUGUUUAUUGGAUGUUAUGAGUAUAGUAUGUAUAUAAAUACUAGCUAGCCCUACGUGCUUGGUCCGUCAUAAUGAGGUAAAAUGCCAUUAUGGCGUGACGUGAGUGUUAGACACAAGUGUCAUAACCCUAUAUGAAAACUACUUUCUUUUCUGGUUUAUUUAGGUUUUCAUAUAGGGAGUCCACACGUAUAUAUACACCGUCCUCUUCGGUCAUAAUGAGGAAAAAUUCUAUUAUGGCGCGACGUGAGCGUUAGACGCAAGCGUCGUAGCCUUGUAUGAGUUUCUAUUUUUCUAAGUUGUUCAUAGAAUUUAUACAAGGAGUCUGACGAGUGUAAAUACAGACACGUAUAUGUCUAUAUAUAGUUUAGCCUGAGAGGCUCCAUUUUAUUUGAGUUGGUGACUAGCCGGAGCUAGUCGUGAAAUUGCCAAUUUUUGAGCUGAGCGUUUUUGGGCGGACGUAUGCAGUAUAAUUUCUUUGGAAAUUAAAAUGGGAAUGCACAAAUAUUUUUUUUUAAUUUAUUUUUGUCCACUCACUCUAACGUUUUCAAAUGUUUUCCCCUGGGCCUUUCGUUUUAAAAAUGCCCAGCUUGCACGUUAGCUUAGUUGAGGUCGGGCGUACAUGGAGAUGAGGCAUAGUCAUCAUAUAGCUUCCGCUUGUUAAUUAAUUAUGUUUCAUUUCUUCCUCUUAGAAUUGCUUUGAACCUAUAAAGGGUUGAAUAUGAGAUUUGUUUAGAUUAGUAAUUAAUUUGGGUGGUGUUGUGAUUUGGGGAGCACGAAGGCUCCAGGAGUUUAAGGUUGGAUUUAAAUUUUCAGAAGUGUUUGCAGGUUUUAUUAGGAAGGGUUGUCCAUUUUCAAGGGAGGUUAUGCCGAAUUUUCGGUAAACUUUCCUUGGAGGUGGUCCUCGCAGGAUUUACUUCGGGUUUCAGGGUAAAAUUCGGGAUGGAUCCUGACAGUUGGUAUCAGAGCACUAGGUUAUUCGAUUGCUUUCUCUUUUUAGUACUACCUCAUAUUAUUGGUCAUACUUAGUGUCUAUAGAGUGAUGGUCCGACCGCAGCGGAUCUAUUAGCAUUAUAUGCUUUAGACAUUAUGUGUUUAUUAAGUUUAUGAUGUAGUUGUUCUUAUCUUGUUUAUGGACAGUAUUGUACCAUAAAUGUCUAUAUCUCUAAGACUAUGCCUCCAUACGCUGACCUCUUAAGUAAAUCUUUAUGCUGUGAGUAAUGAAAAUGUGUAUGGAUCACCCCUUUUUCCAAGGUUAUCGAGUUGAUAUCAUAAAUUGUUAGAGUUCAAUUCCGAGAUGUGAACUCAUAUGCGUGGCAGCAUUCCUUUCUUGUGAUCAAUGAUUGUUUGGGUUAUGAUUAAGAUGCUAGGGUGAGCAUCUCGUGCGAAUGUGUAGAAGGUGAAAAGUUUAAUUCAAGCCUUGGAAUUUACUAAUUAUAGUGGGCAAGUGUGAAGUUGUUGUAGUCCGAUAGAAAAAUCUUGGCUUCGAGUUAUGUGACACGACCCACCCCGAAUUUCACCCUGAAACCCAGAGUAAGUCGUGCGGGGACCACCUCCAAGGAAAAUUUACUGAAAAGAUUAAGAAAAUCUCCCUUGCAGAUGGACAACCCUAACUCGAAAAUUUCAUAUUACACUCUUAAUUUAACACUUCUGAACAUCACAUAAUAUACAAAAAUUCUAAAGUAUUCAGAGCUACUAAACACAAGCGGAAGCAAGAAAACACGAGUAGGUUGAACAGGUAACCUACUGGCGAAAACUGGCAGAAAUGUGGGUGACUAUGCCUCGUCUCCUACUAGAUCCAACCCGAACUCUGCAGACUGGGCAAUUUAAAACGAAGGGCCCAGGGGAAAACAUUUAAUAACGUUAGAGUGAGUGGACAAAAAUAAAAUAAUAAUUAAAAUAUUUAUGUUUCCCCAAAUUAAAUUCUAAGGAAAAAUCGAAUGCAUGCCGCAAGCGACAAAACUUUUAUCCCAUAAAAUAUCGAGCCUCUCAGACUCUAUAAUAUAUGUAUGUAUUUACACACGUCCAUACUCCCUAUAUAAAUUCAUGGGUCUAUAUAGGGCUACUACGCUCGCGUCCAACGCUCACGUCACGCCUUAAUGCGGUGCUACACUACGCCAUCAAGGUGGACAGACGGGUGUAUAAAUAUGUGUCCAUNNNNNNNNNNNNNNNNNNNNGCUCACGUCACACCAUAAUGCGGCUAUAUGCUACGCCAUUAAGGUGGACAGACACAUAUGGCUAGCUAGCAUUUUCUAUACAUACUCCCUCAUAUAUACAUAUUUAUAUUCACCGAAAAUCCCAUUUUCGGUAACUUUCUCUCAGAGAAAUAAAAGCGUCAAAAUUAAUUGACGUCAAAACUCCAACAAAAGGAAGUGUUCAAUCAUGAACCAUAGCAUGCAUAUUAUUUCAAAUAAAAGUCCACUCACAAAUUAGGCCUAAGCCUGAUGUCGAUCUGGGAUCUCGUCUGCUCGAGCCUCCUCACGUCCUGUUUCAAAUAUAAUAUUAAUUCCCAACCAAAUAAUCCAAUAUUUAAUCACAAUAGGCAAAAUUACCUGAGAGCCAUAAUUACGCUCAUCAUUGCCUAACUUCGAUAUUCUUACAUCGGAACGAUCCGAACUUAAAUAUCAUACUCAACAGUCGUAAAUACAACCUCUCCAAAAUACGACUUAAAUCCUACGGCCGGAUUCUACAUUAAUUAACCGCCAAAAAUACCAAACUUCGGAAAUUCACAAACCUAUCCAAAUCUCAUCCAAAAAUUCCAUAAAUCACACAAAUAUACUCCUCUUAAUAUUCCACAUUUAAAACCCUAAAAAUCUCCUAACCGGCGGCGGCGCCGCCGGCGGCCGGCAGCCGUUUUCCGGCGACCUGCAAAUGCUACCAAAUUUUGGCAGCAUCUUCCUCUCAACCUCCUCUACAACAUUCCUAACUACCACAAACUCCAAUUCUAAGCCUAAGCACAUCAAUCGAACACAAAUACACAAAAAGCCCUAGAAAUUUCAAGUUCCCAUUUCUCCUUACCUAGCUCACGACGGAGCGAGCCCUUUGGAGGGAUUGAAGCACGGGAGGAGGGCUUCCUUUUGGGCUAAGGCUCGCCGGAUAUGGCAGCCGGAGGAGGGAGUUCCGGCAAGAAAACCGAUUCGGCAGUCGGAGCUUCGGGCGGCGUUUCUCCCUCACGACGGCGCUAGGGAGGCUGUCACCGGUCUAGAAAUGUUGCUGGGAGGGAGACCGACCGAACGGGACCGGUGCGGCGGCGGUUGGUGGCCGGACGGCGGCGGGAGGACGGCCGGAAAACCGGGCAGCGGGAGGCUCGGGGAGAGGAAAAGAAAAGAGGGAAGAAGAGAAAGGGAGGAGGAAAAAGAAAUGGGUUGGGCCUCCACCGGUCCAACCUAUAUCAACCCAAUUCCAAAAAUAAAAAACACCCCGAAAGAAUAAUACCCGAAUAAAAAAUUACCUUUUACUAGCUAAAAUUUACCAUUUUUACCGUCGUCGUAUUUUCCUCAUACUAAUAAUCCUCCGCACAUAAUCGUCCCCGAAACCCCUCUAGGGACCAAUUAAACUAUUUACUCAAUGAUCGAGACGGUAAAAUUCUUAUUAUAAUCACGCUAGUAAAUAAGGUAAAAAUAUAAGGGUCGGGAUGUGACAUUAUGUGACUUCUGGGAGAAAAUAGUUAGAAAGAAAGUUCGAAGUAGUGGUGUUUUCUUUUGAUGUUAAAGUUAGUUGAAGUGCUAUGGAGGGUACCUAUAGUAACUCUUUGAGGUACCUUUAUGAGUUGUUGCGGACCCUAAGCUUGAGCGAUUUAGUCACGUGGGAUUUGUGGCUAGUGUUUGGGUGGUAAGGCAUUGCUACAUAAAGAGUUAAAUGUCAAUUUAGAUAAGUCAUGAGUGAAGGCCAAUUUGCCGACUAUGUUUAUCCGCAGUAGAAAGCAGUUGGGAACAUUUUGGGAUAAUGCUGGUUGUGUCAGCAUAUAUUCUGGUUCCUAUAACUCUAAUUAUGGAUAAGUUUUUAUCUUUUGAGCAAUUUAUUAAGAUGGUGGUGGUAAUAUCUUUUAGAAAUGAUGGAUAAUAGUAGUCGAUGAAUAGUAAGAUUUCUGAUGAUUUUGGUCUCUAUUGUGGGUUAGUUGAAGUUUGUUAAAGCGCUAAGUGUAAU